rnacentral:rRNA from 1 species
AACGAACGCUGGCGGCAGGCUUAACACAUGCAAGUCGAGCGCCCCGCAAGGGGAGCGGCAGACGGGUGAGUAACGCGUGGGAACGUGCCCUUUGGUUCGGAACAACUCCGGGAAACUGGAGCUAAUACCGGAUAAGCCCUUCGGGGGAAAGAUUUAUCGCCAAAGGAUCGGCCCGCGUCUGAUUAGCUAGUUGGUGAGGUAAUGGCUCACCAAGGCGACGAUCAGUAGCUGGUCUGAGAGGAUGAUCAGCCACACUGGGACUGGGACACGGCCCAGACUCCUACGGGAGGCAGCAGUGGGGAAUAUUGGACAAUGGGCGCAAGCCUGAUCCAGCCAUGCCGCGUGAGUGAUGAAGGCCUUAGGGUUGUAAAGCUCUUUUGUCCGGGAAGAUAAUGACUGUACCGGAAGAAUAAGCCCCGGCUAACUUCGUGCCAGCCGCCGCGGUAAGAC